UGGGGAAUCUUGCACAAUGGGCGGAAGCCUGAUGCAGCGACGCCGCGUGGGGGAUGACGGCCUUCGGGUUGUAAACUCCUUUCGCCAGGGACGAAGCCGUGAGGUGACGGUACCUGGAUAAGAAGCACCGGCUAACUACGUGCCAGCAGCCGCGGUAAUACGUAGGGUGCGAGCGUUGUCCGGAAUUACUGGGCGUAAAGAGCUCGUAGGUGGUUUGUCGCGUCGUCUGUGAAAUUCCGGGGCUUAACUCCGGGCGUGCAGGCGAUACGGGCAUAACUUGAGUGCUGUAGGGGAGACUGGAAUUCCUGGUGUAGCGGUGAAAUGCGCAGAUAUCAGGAGGAACACCGAUGGCGAAGGCAGGUCUCUGGGCAGUAACUGACGCUAAGGAGCGAAAGCAUGGGUAGCGAACAGG
rnacentral:rRNA from 1 species